GACGAACGCUGGCGGCGUGCCUAAUACAUGCAAGUCGAACGCACAGUUUAUACCGUAGCUUGCUACACCAUAAACUGUGAGUUGCGAAUGGGUGAGUAACGCGUAGGUAACCUGCCUGGUAGCGGGGGAUAACUAUUGGAAACGAUAGCUAAUACCGCAUAAUAUUGAUUAUUGCAUGAUAAUUGAUUGAAAGAUGCUAUUGCAUCACUACCAGAUGGACCUGCGUUGUAUUAGCUAGUAGGUGAGGUAACGGCUCACCUAGGCGACGAUACAUAGCCGACCUGAGAGGGGGAUCGGCCACACUGGGACUGAGACACGGCCCAGACUCCUACGGGAGGCAGCAGUAGGGAAUCUUCGGCAAUGGACGAAAGGCUGACCGAGCAACGCCGCGUGAGUGAAGAAGGGUGUCGGAUCGUAAAGCUCUGUUGUAAGAGAAGAACGGGUGUGAGAGUGGAAAGUUCACACUGUGACGGUAUCUUACCAGAAAGGGACGGCUAACUACGUG
rnacentral:rRNA from 1 species